UGGUUGGUGUUUCCACCUGUGGUCUGUGGUCUGUGGGUUCAUGUUGCAGAAAGCAAGGCACAGACUCAGUGGUUGGUUUUCAACCUGUAUUGAUGUAAAUGUGACUCAGAGUGAAAGUGAAGUUCUGCUUCACUGAAAACAAACAACGAGGCCACAACAACAAGGUUCACUAAAGAUGGCGUCGAUGUACUUGGUAAACUUUGAUGAGGGGGAGGAGAGCGAGUGACUGCAGUUGGAGUUGUGCUCUGCUGCGCUCUCCGCCAGCCAGAGGUGUGUUGUCGGCUCCACACUCUUGUAUCUCUGGGUACACAGGCAGCAGCACCCCGCUAUGCGAGCCAGACCGAGUGCCAUGUCUCACAGCUGUGUUGGCAGAGGGUCGCGGCUCAUCUGAAGGGAAGGUAGCAUCUUGCUUUGAGGAGGACAGAAGACACAAGAAGACCAGUUGCAGAGAAAGAGAGGGAGAGAGGGGGAUAUAAUGAAAACCUCCCACUCUCGCCCUCACUAAACAGAGCAAAAACGGAAGGCUUUGGAGUAUUCAAUUUUUUCUUUCGUUUUAUAUUUUUCUUAUUCCUCAUCGCGGUGCUGGGAGGUGCUUCAUCUUUUCAUAUAGUCUCUCUUUCCAUCAUUUGCCUCCUCAUCUACUUCUCCAUCUACCUCGUGUAUAAUUUUCUCUGUUCAUGAGUGAUAGAAAAGAGAAAGGAGGGAGUUUUGUUUUUAAUUUUUUUGGUCAUUUCUUUCCUCCCCUCUCACCAAACCCCAUCAUCACCUGUCGGUCCCUCCUUGCCAUUUAAUCUCUUCUGCUGCUGCUGCUGCUGCCGCUGCCAUCACUCCCCUCAUCCCACACCUCUCUCUGUCUCUAAACUCUGAUUUUAUAUGAACUUGGAUGAAUUUUCUUCAGCGAUAACCAAAAAAAACCCUCCAUGAAUGACUCUUUUUUUCCCCUUUUCUUUCUCUUUUGGUCCCUCCACACCCAUUUUCUUUGCAUCACACUCUUGUGGGAUUCUUAAAUUUGACCCUAGGUAGGUUAACUAUUGUUUAGUGUCUGUCUAUCUGUCUGUCCGUGUGUGUAUUUGUGUGUGCUUUACGUAUACAUAAAACACACAUUAACACACAAAUGCACUCGCACACUAAACUAUGCCUAAAAGGACAGUAUUCAGUGAGUCGAUAUCCGUCUGGUCUCGCAUUGUUUUCACAUCCUCCUGCUCCUCAUCUGUCCUCAUCAUGGCAAAGUGCUCCCAUUUUUAAUUGUCGUCUUUGAGGACUCUUUAUUCACACGUCAUGUCCCCUUUACUGUUUAAUAAAGAUGUCAAUAUCUUUUGCAACCUGUUGUGAAGGGAAGAAAAAUAAUCAAGUGUAGCCCUGAGGGAUAAUGCGAUUAAUCUCCAGGUGCUUUAUUUAUUUCAUAUUUUCAUAUCUUAAAUUGGCAAAGUUUGGGAAAUUGACUCUUUAAGUAAAUUAUAUUCAAUUUAUGUUAUUUAGUGAGCUGCAUUCAAAGUUCGGAGCUAAUGGCCAUCUCCACUCAUUAGGAGUGUAUCCCAUUUCAUGCUUGAUUUGUGCUUAAAUUCAUCCUGCCUGUCUAUCAACAGCCGUCAGCACUUAAACUACCCCCCCCUUACACACACAGACACACACACACAGGCCUAAAACCUCUAUUCGCUUCUUUUUGAUUUUAAAAAUAGUCGUCAGAAUUGAAUUCUUCUGCCCGCUGCAUGUUUUCAAUUUUCCCCUUCCCUCCCUUCGAUCGGUUUUCAUCCAGAGCUGGCUGGUUGUUCAUCCCUGAAGCUCUUUCCCCCCCUCCACUUGUCUUCAUUCUCAUCCUCUAUCAGGCAAGAGAGACCGAGAGUUGGCUUUAGUUGGAUGUCGAGCAGUGGAUUAAGCGGGUAAUGCCUUGCUGUGGAUUUGAGAUGUAGCAGCCACUGUGUGCAGGUCGU